GCUCAGGACGAACGCUGGCGGCGUGCCUAAUACAUGCAAGUCGAGCGGAUUGAUGGGAGCUUGCUCCCAUCAGUCAGCGGCGGACGGGUGAGUAACACGUGGGUAACCUGCCUGUAAGACUGGGAUAACUCCGGGAAACCGGGGCUAAUACCGGAUAACUCAUUUCCUCGCAUGAGGAAAUGUUGAAAGGUGGCUUUUAGCUAUCACUUACAGAUGGACCCGCGGCGCAUUAGCUAGUUGGUGAGGUAAUGGCUCACCAAGGCGACGAUGCGUAGCCGACCUGAGAGGGUGAUCGGCCACACUGGGACUGAGACACGGCCCAGACUCCUACGGGAGGCAGCAGUAGGGAAUCUUCCGCAAUGGACGAAAGUCUGACGGAGCAACGCCGCGUGAGUGAUGAAGGUUUUCGGAUCGUAAAGCUCUGUUGUUAGGGAAGAACAAGUACCGUUCGAAUAGGGCGGUACCUUGACGGUACCUAACCA
rnacentral:rRNA from 1 species